GUUUACCCGGAGGUCACCAAGGGGGAUGGAGUAGGCUGAUGUGGGACACUGCGGGCCACCACGCAUCCAGCACAUCGGGAACAAUCUGGGUCUGUCCCAAAGUGAAAAUGACCACGAAAGGUAAACAUUGCUGAUCAGUUCAGAACAUCAAGGCAGCCAACUAAAGACACUCAUGAAAGAGGACUUCCAGAACUGCUACAGAAAAUGGCAGAAGCAGUGGAACAGGCCCCACCCCAAAGAAAGGAGCACAGCAGAUCAACGUGGAGCAGAAGCAGGAACACACUGUGCUGUGGUUUCUAUCAAAUGACUGAAAAGGUGAGCGGUGUCUAACUGUCCUGGAAUUUUCUCACUUGCUUUCCACCAGCA
rnacentral:lncRNA from 1 species